GACGAACGCUGGCGGCGUGCCUAAUACAUGCAAGUAGAACGCUGAAGGAGGAGCUUGCUUCUCUGGAUGAGUUGCGAACGGGUGAGUAACGCGUAGGUAACCUGCCUGGUAGCGGGGGAUAACUAUUGGAAACGAUAGCUAAUACCGCAUAAGAGUAGAUGUUGCAUGACAUUUGCUUAAAAGGUGCAAUUGCAUCACUACCAGAUGGACCUGCGUUGUAUUAGCUAGUUGGUGGGGUAACGGCUCACCAAGGCGACGAUACAUAGCCGACCUGAGAGGGGGGUCGGCCACACUGGGACUGAGACACGGCCCAGACUCCUACGGGAGGCAGCAGUAGGGAAUCUUCGGCAAUAGACGGAAGUCUGACCGAGCAACGCCGCGUGAGUGAAGAAGGUUUUCGGAUCGUAAAGCUCUGUUGUAAGAGAAGAACGAGUGUGAGAGUGGAAAGUUCACACUGUGACGGUAUCUUACCAGAAAGGGACGGCUAACUACGUG
rnacentral:rRNA from 1 species